rnacentral:lncRNA from 1 species
GUUUUGCCUGCAAGUAGCCUCUCAAAACAAGCUGCAUAAACACCCUUUUAAGUCCUGCAAUGCCUCCUGAGAGCUGUAUUAACAAUAGCCCGGGACAGCAGGGAGGAGGAUGUUGAAAGCCCUUUUUACACCACUUUACACUACUGGAAUCCAGAGAUUGAUCCUUGUAAAGAAGAUAUAUGGGAGAGCUGAGUGCAAGUUUCUCAUGCGUCCAAGGUUUUCACCGAGGCUGAAGAAUUGGCCUGAACAUGAAGAAAGAUUCUGAAGCAAGCUUAUUUUUAGAUCUGCUUGUACAGCCUACAAGCUAACUAAAUUCAAACUUUAAAAGAGUUCUAUAAAACUAGUAAAGCUGAGUAUAGAGAUUUUAGUUCUGCUGUUCUGUUCCAGUAAUUUUUAAUGAAACUCGAGACCAGGUAAUUUACAGUAAAAGAACACUAGAUCUGAGAAGAAUGAAAAAAUAAUUCCCUAUAAUUGUAUCAAACUUAGCUGACAGUCUUAUUAUUCAUUGUCCAAUUGAUUAAAUCAAAGAUAAAGAAUAAUUGUAUCAUUUAGGUUGUUUCUGAGGAAAGGUCUAGACUAUUUUGGUCUAAAUAUUUCCCGAAUUAUAUGUAGUGUAGUUGUGGGGAAAAGGCUCCAAGUUCCUCCAGGCUGUUCAGAACAUGCUUGAUUCUUCUUUAGUUACUCUAUCACACGACGAAUCAGCUGCUUUCCAGACGUAAUUUGAUCUUGGAAAAGUUAAGCAACCAGUUGAAAAUAGCACAGUGUCUUUGGCAGGCCAGGCUGGCUUCAGCUGGAUUUGGAUAUAGCCCAAACUCCCAUCCAGAAGACCCAAAGUGUGUAAAUCACUUAUGGAGUCCCAGUCGCAAGAACUCUG